GACAUACCAGAUGUUCUAAUCUCUGAUAAGAAAAUUCUUGUUAAAUUUUAAUGGAAGAAAAUGGACUGGCGGUUAGGACACAUCCUUUACUCUUUUUUUUUUUUUUUUUUUUUUUUCCUAUUAUCACUUACAAAGACCUGGGACUAUGGUUUCUCCUGGCUGUACCACUCACUUCCAAGCACACUGAGACCUUGGGAACUAAUUCCUGGGUAUGCGGCCCAUUGUUCUAACCUAAUUUUUACUGUUGGAUCAAAGUAUAUCCAUGGCCAAAUAAUGGUCCUAUUGCUAGUCACUCUUUUGUCCACAAAUGAACUGGAGUGAAACCCGUAUCUUGACUGCUUUCCUUUUUAGCACCCAUCAGAUAAGCAACCCGGGCUGUUGAGAGGACGAUGUUAACUGACCCCCAAGGCAGGACCAGGUGCUGAAGUCCUGCUCUUUCAAAGAUGAUGAACCAGAGAAUACUGUGUCACUGCUUGUUCCAUUCCUGUGCUGGUACUGGCAAGUGGGAAAGCUGGGAUUCAAAUCCAAGUCUGUGUCUCCAAAAGUCCAUGUUGAAGCUGUUCUUGUUGCUGAAUUUAAUGAACCUCUAACACAUGAUCCAAUGGAGAAAGUGAUCCAAUGGAAAGGAUCCAAUGGAGAAAGUGUCACUGAGCUGGGCCGCAGAGCUGGUUAUCAAGGGUAGUCUACGAAGUCAGAGGGAACUUCACAAUGUUGGACACUGAGCUUCCAUGCACCUGGUCUAAAACGAGGAAGAGCAUAAGUAACAUAUGUGCUAAGUGGCCAGGAAUGAGGAAAGGGCUGCAUCCAUCCUGUCUGCCUCCCGUCCAAUGCAGAGGAAAGCCUGCACCCCUCCUUGGUCUGUCUCAAUCUGCAUUUUGCCAGUAAGACUUGCUGGGCCUCCACUCGGGUUAAGGUCGAUGAAUAAAACCAGAGAACUUAAAAAGAGGAAACAUCAACACUGAAGAGGUCAUGGGGAAGAGGAAGGAAAGUACGGCACCUGCUAUCAAUUUGACUUGCAUGUAACCAGAAUUCUCAGAACUUGUUGGUUGCUCCUGCUGGCUCCUGUCCAUGUAUGCCAAGAGGACAUGAUGGCAAGCGGAUUAGAACCAGAGAUGAUGAUCCUUCCAUCCCCCUCUGGGCAUCCUCCUCAGCUUCAAGAGCUACAGAUGCAAGAGCAUGAUGGGCAUCCUCCUCAGCUUCAAGAGCUACAGAUGCAAAAGCAUGAAUGAAGUCCUGCCUGUGUUGCCUGACUUUGUCACUGAGACCAGAAGGAGACCCCAUGCGGAAUCAACUAGCAAACACAAACAGCUGCCUGGUGCUGCAGGGCAAACAGACUUGAUGAUGAAAUUCUCAAAAUUCAUCAUUGCCUAAUUUUUUUUUUUUUUAGAAAUAUGCACCAUUUUGUUAGCCAAAGUGCAGAUUUUCGUAGAGAAAACAGGAAAAUUAUUGAUAUGGGUACACUCACAACGUGCUAAAUACAAACUAAACAGAUAACCCAUAAGGCAGAAAAUAUAACCCCUCCCCGACUCCAUUUCUGCCUUUGUCCCUUUCCAUCUGCAUGGCUGUCCCCCACCCUGGCAAGUGCUCUGCCUCUCCCAAGAGCAUUUUUGGGGGUCCAGCCAGGUAGCACCACCUUCCUUAUCCCUUAGUCCUUCCUGCUGCUCAGAGAGGAAUUUUCUGGAGCUGGGCUCUAAUCAGUGCACAGAGGUGGGAUGGAGAUGAGUUUUUUUAAAAUAUAAUUUAUCACGCAUUUGCACCCAUUGUUCUCCCAACCAGAUUGCAAACCACUAGGAUACAGGGUCAUGUCUAGUUUCUCUUGCCUGCCCUCCCCUCCCCAGCUCCCAAAUUAGACAUGGCAGAGUAUCUUUACUACACUGGGCUGGCAAUUCAUGUUUUACACUGAAUAAGUAGAUAAGGCAGAAUUGUCUAUUUUUAUGUUGUUUUUUGGCAGGUCCCUGCCAGACUUCAUAGGCAUAAACUAUGGGAUACAUCUCGUGUGCAUCCAAGUGAGAGAGAGGACAGUAAAACACAGUUACCUACACAGACAGGGAAAAUCACACUCACACAUACACACCGACAGAAUUUCAUUUAAUCAAGUGCACAUUGGAAGUAGAAAGCAUGAAGCUGAAAGUACUCCAGCUCUGUUUAGCCAACACUAAACCAUAAGAGGGACCUCAGCCUUUAACACAUGGCCGGGUUUGACAACUCUUUGGUUCCAGACUGACUUCCCAACUGACCAGUUGCUUUUGCGUCUCUUAGAUUCAGCUUCACCUUGAAUCCCAACUUCCUCCCUCCCCCUCCCUACUUCCCUGGGCGUUCUCUGGCUUUUCAGUCCUGGUAUGAGCCAAGCAAAGCUCAAUUAGCUAAUGAGGUGCCCAAGACCAGCACCAAGACUGUCUCCAAGGGCCAACCAGGCCAUUAACUGCCAUCAUCAGUGUUAAUUUACAACCUUGCCUACCACAUGGAGUGCGGGGAUGCUGUGAAGUUCUGCCAACCUUUUGGCUGACAGGGAUACAGAGAAGUGCUGGCAAGGCAAAAACAGAGUAAAUUAAAAAUAUGCUUCAAUCUAUAGGCUCUAUUUAUCUAUGUCUUUCUUUAGUAAUAUAACAUUAAGGUAAAAGGUCAUAGCCCCACUGAAAUAUAAUUUAUAUUUACCUUUUAUUAAAUAAUUAUGGCAUGGCAUGAAGUUAAAUAUUACAGAAGCUAAUCAAGAGGGAAUUCAAGAGAGAAAACUCAGACAUGAGAAUUUCGUCUUUGCUAUACAUAGAAUGUCUUAAUCCUCCACUGGGAGUCAUUCGGGUUUGCUUAAGGAGUUUAAUAAUACACAUUUCAACUGCCACAGAAUCUAAAUCCCAUUUGGAUCAGCCUUGAAAAACUUUCAUCAAUACCUUGAGAUUUCAUAAUAUUUCUCUUGAGAGCCUGGAUCUCAUGUGCCAUUUCUCAUUUUGAUUGCGGGUAUAAUAUAUGAGAUUACUUACAUAUAUCUUGGACCCAAUAAAUAAAUAUAAAC
rnacentral:lncRNA from 1 species